ACAGUCACACAUUAGAUACCCGUGUAGUCCCAGCCGUAAACUAUGCGCGUUAGGUGUAUCGGUGACCACGAGUCACCGAGGUGCCGAAGGGAAACCGUGAAACGUGCCGCCCGGGAAGUACGGUCGCAAGGCUGAAACUUAAAGGAAUUGGCGGGGAGCACCACAACGGGUGGAGCCUGCGGUUUAAUUGGACUCAACGCCGGGAAGCUCACCGGAUAAGACAGCGGAAUGAUUGCCGGGCUGAAGACUCUGCAUGACUAGCUG
rnacentral:rRNA from 1 species